CAUUCGGAGGUACACGUUUAUUAGCUUGACAUCUCCCUGAAACUCUACUAUCUAUUAUUGAGGGGGAGAUUUUCUUUGUCAUAAUGACUAUUUGUAUUUAUUUGCGUUGGUUCUUUCGAUUCCCACGCCCAGAUCAGUGUUGAAAAGAGAAAGAGAAAGAGAGGGAGGCAAGAAGAGAGAGAGAG